rnacentral:rRNA from 1 species
GGUUUUUUGUUUGGUGAUAAAAAAUCUGACCUGCCCAAUGAGGGAAGAGUUUAAUGGCCGCGGUAAUUUGACCGUGCUAAGGUAGCAUAAUAAUUAGUCUUGUAAUUUGGGACUAGGAUGAAGGGUUGGACGAAGGAGAUUCUGUUUCUAGAAAAAAAGUUGAAGUUGGUUGUGUUGUGAGAAGGCAACAGAGGAGCUAAGGGACGAGAAGACCCUAUUAAGUUUUACAGAGUUGGUUACGACUUUUUUAUAUUUGGUGGGUUGUUGGUUGAAGUUCUGUUUUGCUGGGGCGGCACUGAUUAGAGGCAAUCUUUCGGUAAGGUGUGGGGUUGAUAGACUUAGGAGCCAGGGCAUUGGUUUUGAUAUUUGGAUUAAAUUACUAUAGGGAUAACAGCGUAAUAUUGUUGGAGAGUUCAUAUUGAUGGCAAAUUUUGCGACCUCGAUGUUGAAUUAAAAUUCCUGUCUGGUGUAGGGGCUGGAUAAGGUGGUCUGUUCGACCAAUAAUUUUUUACA